rnacentral:rRNA from 1 species
UACGUAGGCAGCGAGCGUUGUUCGGAUUUACUGGGCGUAAAGGGCGCGUAGGCGGUCAGCACAAGUCAGUUGUGAAAUCUCCGGGCUUAACCCGGAAAGGUCAACUGAUACUGUGCGACUAGAGUGCGGAAGGGGCAACUGGAAUUCUCGGUGUAGCGGUGAAAUGCGUAGAUAUCGAGAGGAACACCUGCGGCGAAGGCGGGUUGCUGGGCCGACACUGACGCUGAUGCGCGAAAGCCAGGGGAGCGAACGGG